UGGCUCAGAUGGUAAAGCGUCUGCCUACAAUGCAGGAGACCAGGGUUCAAUCCCUG
rfam:TPA: Bos taurus chromosome 19, whole genome shotgun sequence.